ACAACACCAGUUCUUGUACGAUCACUGAAGUUAAGCAACAUCAAGCUUGGCCUGUACCUAGAGGGGUGACUGCUUGGGAAUAACAGGUGCUGCCAG